GACGAACCGUGCAAACGUUGUUCGGAAUCACUGGGCUUAAAGGGCGCGUAGGCGGGCCAGCCAGUCUGUGGUGAAAGCCUCCAGCUUAACUGGAGAAGUGCCGUGGAUACUGCUGGCCUCGAGGAGGGUAGGGGCAUCUGGAACGGUCGGUGGAGCGGUGAAAUGCGUUGAUAUCGACCGGAACUCCGGUGGCGAAGGCGGCUUCCUGGCCAAGUGACUGACGCUGAGGCACGAAAGCGUGGGGAGCGAACGGG
rnacentral:rRNA from 1 species